CCGUACUGGCUGUAGACACCUUCGUCUUUCUUUACCUCCCUGGAUACACAUGUAGUUUACUAUGGCACCUGUCUUCUCAUGGCAGUACUCUGUUCCCAAACAAACAUCAUUUUCUUCUGGAGAGGCUCUCUUUAAUCUUUAGGUUAACAGUUGUGUAAAUGGAAGGAUGGAAGAAUGCACAAUGACAUUUUAUCACACAAAAUAUGCAAAGGUAGGGACAUAGUAGGCAUUUUGUAUAACUUGUUAUGAGAAUGAAGUGCUAAAGCUCCAAUAUUUUUUUCUCACAUCAUACAGUGUUAACUGCUUCAGAUUUACCAGGAUUGUGCUCUUACAGGAGUCAUUCUCAUUUGACGAUUUAUCUGUGGACUUCACCCAAAAGGAGUGGCAGCUACUGGAUCCCUCUCAGAAGAAUUUAUACAAGGAUGUGAUGUUGGAGAACUAUAGCAGCCUAGUGUCACUGGGUAAUAAAAGCUUUCUUGAGGACCUUGGACUAUGCCCAAUGCAUUGCCUUUUAUUUUUAGUUGCUGGGAAGUUUCAGAAGCCUAUAGCUAGGCUUCUGAAAUUUUUAAUGAUUUUAGACCUGAAACUUAGAUCACAGUUGCUUGGACUAUGACACCAAGAAAGUAUUUGGGUCUCACCUUUCAAUAAUGAAGUCGUAAGUUUGUCAUGCAGCCUCUGAAACUUAAGUAGUAAUAGUUUGAGCAGUAGUGGUAGCACCUAAUGCAUAUAACUUACUAUAUGCCACAUCUUAUACCAAGUGCUUUACGUAUAUCAACUCAUUUAGUCAUCAGAGCAAUCCUAUGUGGCAAGUACAGUCAUUAUCCAUUUUUCCUGAUGAGAAGAUCGAGGCCAAGAGAGGUUAAGUAACUUUCCCAAGAACUAACAGCUAGUAAAUUAAAGAGCCUGGAUGUAAACCCAGGCUUACUGGCUCCAGAGCCUCUGAAGUGUUCAGUGGCUUUGUACUAGACCCUAUUAGCCACCAAGGGAGACCGUUACUGUAACUUUGAGAAUUACUUACUCUGUUGGGGUACAGCUUCACCAGGCCAACUUUGAUGUGAAACCUUGCUCAUCUUUAGAGGCCCUAAACCCCAAGCAGUUGGGCCCAAGGCCUUUGUGAUUUUUCCCUUAACAGGAUAUGAAGUUAUGAAACCAGAUGUCAUCUUCAAAUUGGAGCAAGGAGAAGAGCCGUGGGUAGGAGAUGGAGAAAUUCCAAGUUCAGAUUCUCCAGAAGUCUGGAAAGUAGAUGGUAACAUGAUGUGGCACCAGGAUAACCAAGACAAGCUUAAAAUUAUAAAAAGAGGUCAUGAAUGUGAUGCAUUUGGAAAAAAUUUCAAUCUGAACAUGAACUUUGUUCCUUUAAGGAAAUCAAACAGUGAAGGUGACUUAGAUGGAUUGAUUUUAAAACAUCAUUUAGAUUUGCUUAUUCCAAAAGGAGAUUAUGGAAAAGCAGAAUCAGAUGACUUUAAUGUGUUUGAUAAUUUUUUUCUCCAUUCCAAGCCUGAGGAUACUGAUACCUGGUUAAAAUACUAUGACUGUGAUAAAUAUAAAGAGAGCUAUAAAAAGUCACAGAUUAUCAUAUAUCAUAGAAAUCGUUUAGGGGAGAAACU
rnacentral:sRNA from 1 species